AUGAGCGUCCUAACUGGGGAUAAUCGCGGGUCCGUUACCGUCCCCUGUGUCUUCGAUUGGAAACUCGAAUCUACCUAUCGACUUCGCUGUUUCCGAGACAACGCAAGCGGAGGACUGAGCGAGCCGUUCCCUCGUGAAUGCGGAGAUCCGGGCUCCCAAUGCAGGAUCACCAGCACCGUAGAGAGCAAUAGAGUCACGCUAACAAUCCGGAACACGCAGAGAAACGAUAGCGGGCGAUAUUACUGCGCUGAAAAAGUUAUCAGCUCACUGAGAUUCUCUAACGAGUCAGUUGUGAUCGUGUCUGGAGAUGAUUCCUCUGUGAAUCGGUCAGUCUCUAUCCUGGCCCCACUGGCUGUCUCUGGCAGCGCGCUCGAUUCCCAGGCGACCCUGACAUUAGUGUGUCUAAUCCGGGGCCUCUCCUCGCCCUCGGUCCGGGUCCGGUGGUUCAUUUCCGGUAACUUCGCGGCGGAGGGAACGCCGAGCUCCGGGAUCAAAGUGAAGGAGGGCGGAGAGGGACAGGGAGACGGAGAGAGCUACGCCGCUACGAGCCGCCUGACAAUCCCGGUGGAGACGUGGAGAAGCGGGGCUGAGUGCGCAUGCGAAGCGCAGUUGAACUGGAACACUUCUAUCCGCAGCGGGAAUGUUUCAUACGCUGGGAUUCACGUGGCGGGUCUGGUUGCAGAGCGGUGCCUGGUUCAGUACGCCGUGUUCUCCGGGGUCUCCCUCCUCGCUCUCUCCGCGGCUCUCUGCGGCUGCGCGCUGUGGACCCGCCGCCGCUUCAAAACAGCGUCCACUGAAGACUCCACGCAUGUAAUUUACAAAAGGACCCCCGGCAGCGGAGAUACAAAGAGGAGAGAUGAAGAGGGCAGUCUGGUCACCUACGCGAGCUUGGACUUUGAAUCCCAGAAGAAGAACAGAAAGAAGAGACACAUAUAAUAAUAAUAAUAAUAAUAAUAAUAAUGAAUCCUUUGGAGCAGAGCGUUUUGAUGCUAGUUUUUUAUUUUUUUUUUUCUUUCUUGCUUGCGAUUUGUGACGGAUGCAAAGUUCAAACGAUUAAUAUCUGUUUAAAAUGAUCAUUAUCAGGGGAAGUCUGUUGGUCAGCUGUCCUCAGACCUGAUUCCUCACCUCCAAGUUUUGAAUCGUUUUCCAAACUGGCCAAACAAUUUGCAACACCCUGUAGAAUUAACAAAUGUGGCUUCAUAAAGUCGAAUGAAACCGGCUGAAUAAUGAAUCAUAUUUAAUUACACACCACGUUGUUUUUUUCCCCAUACAAACUGACAAAAAGUUGAAAAAUGUGACAUUUCAAAAUCUAACAUGAAAUAAUAUACCAGUAGCCUUAUAAUGGCUUCCUAAUGGUAGACUUUUUCUAUAUCAUUUAAUAGUUUCUUUGAUGACAUGAUGUUAAAUAAAAGAGGUAAGUUAUGUUCAUAUAGCUUUUUAAAAAAAAUAAUAUCUCAGUCCUAAAAUUCUAGAUGAGGCCAAACUUUUGCCCAGAGCUGCACACAGAACUGAGCCUGUUUUAACCCUUCGAGGUACACAAGGAAUUAAGUGCUUGCUGUUCAAAUGGUUUCUUCUUAAAAAUACCUUUGAGAGCGAUUCAGGAAUCAGGAGGAGGAAACUGUCCAUUUGGACGAUCAGAUCCAGUCUGUCACUGCAUUUUAAACCCCGCUGUUUCGUGCACCUCGUCGCAAACAAUAAGAAAGCGCGCAUCGUUUCUAUUCGUGGGGCACACGUGUUCCUUCUCUCUUAAAAGGCUUGUGCGUUUCUCUGAGAUUUCUCAUGGGUUUAUCAGAUUUGAUGGACAGUUAUUGGAAUUGUAAUAGAAAUAUCAAUGGGCUGGAAUAAGCCAUGCUAGUGCAAAUAUAACACGUGGUGUUUAUUUAGCCUUUGAAGAAGACCCUCAGAAAUUGUAUAGAAACUGUCUCUAUAUCAAAACUCUGAAAUUACUUCAGCAUGUUCUUCAUAAUUAAAAAAAAAAAACAACUA